UCGGGUAUGGUGUAACGGCUAACAUUGCCGCCUCUCAUUGUGGUCUAUUUCAUGAGGGCGCGGCAGCUCGGGGUUCGAUUCCCCGUACCCGAA